CACGCAGGCGGACUGAUAAGUCGGGGUGAAAUACCCGGGCGUCAACCUCGGAACUGCCUUCGAUACUGCCAGUCUUGAGUCCGGGAGAGGUGAGUGGAAUUCCUAGUGUAGAGGUGAAAUUCGUAGAUAUUAGGAAGAACACCAGUGGCGAAGGCGACUCACUGGCCCGGUACUGACGCUCAGGUGCGAAAGCGUGGGGAGCAAACAGGAUUAGAUACCCUGGUAGUCCACGCCGUAAACGAUGGAUGCUAGCCGUCGGGCAGCUUGCUGUUCAGUGGCGCAGCUAACGCUUUAAGCAUCCCGCCUGGGGAGUACGGCCGCAAGGUUAAA
rnacentral:rRNA from 1 species